UCCCUCAUAGCUCAGUUGGUAAAGAAUCUGUCUGCAAUGCAGGAGACUCAGGUUUGAUUCCUGGGUAGAGAA
rnacentral:tRNA from 1 species